UACGGAGGAUCCAAGCGUUAUCCGGAAUCAUUGGGUUUAAAGGGUCCGUAGGCGGUUUAAUAAGUCAGUGGUGAAAGCCCAUCGCUCAACGGUGGAACGGCCAUUGAUACUGUUAAACUUGAAUUAUUAGGAAGUAACUAGAAUAUGUAGUGUAGCGGUGAAAUGCGUAGAGAUGUGGAGGAACACCUGUGGCGAAGGCGCCUUGCUGGCCGAUUCUGACGCUGAGGCGCGAAAGCGUGGGGAGCAAACAGG
rnacentral:rRNA from 1 species